UCCCUGGUGGCUCAGACAGUAAAGAAUCUGCCUGCAAUGCAGAAGACCCAGGUUCGAUCCCUGGGUCGGGAA
rnacentral:tRNA from 1 species